rnacentral:rRNA from 1 species
UGGGGAAUAUUGCACAAUGGGCGCAAGCCUGAUGCAGCCAUGCCGCGUGUAUGAAGAAGGCCUUCGGGUCGUAAAGUACUUUCAGCCGGGAGGAAGGUGGUAAGGUUAAUAACCUUGGCAAUUGACGUUACCGACAGAAGAAGCACCGGCUAACUCCGUGCCAGCAGCUGCGGUAAUACGGAGGGUGCAAGCGUUAAUCGGAAUUACUGGGCGUAAAGCGCACGCAGGCGGUUGAUUGAGUCAGAUGUGAAAUCCCCGGGCUUAACCCGGGAAUUGCAUCUGAAACUGGGCAGCUAGAGUCUUGUAGAGGGGGGUAGAAUUCCAUGUGUAGCGGUGAAAUGCGUAGAAAAGUGGAGGAAUACCGGUGGCGAAGGCGGCCCCCUGAACAAAGACUGACGCUCAGGUGCGAAAGCGUGGGAAGCAAACGGG